rnacentral:rRNA from 1 species
UACCGAAGACUAUCAAACUCCGAAUGCCGUCAUCUUAUACUUGGGAGUCAGACUGUGGGUGAUAAGAUUCAUAGUCGAAAGGGCAACAGCCCAGAUCGUCAGCUAAGGUCCCUAAAUGUAAGUUAAGUGGUAAAGGAUGUGGGAUUGCACAGACAACCAGGAUGUUGGCUUAGAAGCAGCCACUCAUUCAAAGAGUGCGUAAUAGCUCACUGGUCGAGUGAUCCUGCGCCGAAGAUUUCCGGGGCUAAAACUUACUACCGAAGCUACGGCAUCAGUAAUGAUGGGUAGGGGAGCUUCCCAUACGGGUUGAAGCAUGACCGUAAGGACAUGUGGACAGUAUGGGAGUGAGAAUGUUGGCAUGAGUAGCGAGAUGUGGGUGAGAAUCCCACAGGCCGUAAACCCAAGGUUUCCAGGGGAAGGUUCGUCCGCCCUGGGUUAGUCGGGACCUAAGCUGAGGCCGAAAGGCGUAGGUGAUGGACAACAGGUUGAUAUUCCUGUACUA